rnacentral:lncRNA from 1 species
ACUCUUCUGCGGGAAGGGCUUGGCGUAGACCGCGCACUGGAAGGCGUGCGCGCAGGUGUGCGUGACCAUGUGCUUGAAACGGCAGUAGCGCAGCGAGAAGGAUCGCCAUCACACGGCGCACUGGUGCGGCUUCUCCCCCGAGUGGAUGAACAUGUGCUUGGUGUCGUUUUUCCUUGAGCUGAACGUCUUGCAACAGUGGCCGCACGCAUAGGGCUGACCCCACAUUGGACACCGCUGCAUCCAUGUCCAUCACACAACACAGCUGCCGUUUCUUCUGCCUGCUUAUGGGAAAGUCCCCUCUUCUCCUCCGUUUUCUUCUCUUCCUGCCCUAUCACACCGUGCACUUCUCCCUUUCCUUAAAGAACCACCAUCAACUUUAGGAGGAGGGAAAGGGGUGGCUCUGGCAGGAAAAGCCAGAAUCCCCUCUAGCCAGCAGAGAGAGAGAGGAAUGGCUGCAUGUUUUCUCCCCCAGUCCAAGGCACUGGGUCUUGGCUGGGUUGAAGGUUCCAAGCUGCUCUCCUGCUGUGUCGGUGAGUUCUGGUCAACCUGCAACCUCCUGAUAUGGCCAUUGCAGUUCAUCGAGUCUUCAGGGACUCCCCAUGGCCUGGAGUACUUUGCCUUGCUUACACGGGAGAGGAGAAUGGAUUUAUAGAGAACAUCAUCUAAAUCCAACUUGACCAUUGUGUGGCCACACUUGCUAGAUUGCUAUAGUCUAAAUCUAGCAUUGUAGAAAGACGGGGGAGCUUGGAGCUGCACAAACCCAGGUCUGGAACUGGCUCCUUACCUUGGAAGGUGAAUGAUCCUGCCAGGACUCUUAGCCUCCCUGGGUCUCAAUUUCUUUAUCUGUUUCAUGGGAAUGAGGAUCUCUGCUGGGUGGUUGGGUGAUGUGGGGGCUGUGUGAAAACAGCUUGUCAAUACAAGCCAAAAUAGAAAUAUUUCUCCACAGAGUAUGAAGGUCAAAUGAGAGAAUACAUUUAAAUUAAAUGGAAAAUUAAAAUGGUAAAAAAUGCAAAGCUGUAUUGAAAGUUCCGAGCUUCUCUAUAAGGAGCUUUUUGACUAUGGAAGAAUCCUGUACUCGUUCCCCCUAAAUAU